UCCGAGUUGACCCCGGCGGUCUCCUGUGAGUCCCCAUCACCCCGAAGGGCAUGCUGGCAACACAGAACAAGGGUUGCGCUCGUUGCGGGACUUAACCCAACAUCUCACGACACGAGCUGACGACAGCCAUGCACCACCUGUACACCGACCACAAGGGGGCGACCGUCUCCGGCCGUUUCCGGUGUAUGUCAAGCCCAGGUAAGGUUCUUCGCGUUGCAUCGAAUUAAAGAACAUGCUCCGCUGCUUGUGCGGGCCCCCGUCAAUUCUUUUGAGUUUUAGCCUUGCGGCCGUACUCCCCAGGCGGAACACUUAUCGCGUUGGCUGCGGCACAGAGGGAUUCGACUCCCCCCACACCUAGUUCCCACCGUUUACGGCGUGGACUAC
rnacentral:misc_RNA from 1 species